AGAUUGAACGCUGGCGGCAGGCCUAACACAUGCAAGUCGAGCGGUAGAGAGGUGCUUGCACCUCUUGAGAGCGGCGGACGGGUGAGUAAUGCCUAGGAAUCUGCCUAGUGGUGGGGGAUAACGUUCGGAAACGGACGCUAAUACCGCAUACGUCCUACGGGAGAAAGCGGGGGACCUUCGGGCCUCGCGCCAUUAGAUGAGCCUAGGUCGGAUUAGCUAGUUGGUGAGGUAAUGGCUCACCAAGGCGACGAUCCGUAACUGGUCUGAGAGGAUGAUCAGUCACACUGGAACUGAGACACGGUCCAGACUCCUACGGGAGGCAGCAGUGGGGAAUAUUGGACAAUGGGCGAAAGCCUGAUCCAGCCAUGCCGCGUGUGUGAAGAAGGUCUUCGGAUUGUAAAGCACUUUAAGUGGAGGAAGGUUGUAACUUAUACGUUGCAACUUUGACGUUACGACAAGAAUAAGACACCGGCUAACUCGUGCCAGCAGACCG
rnacentral:rRNA from 1 species